CGGCCGGGGCGGAGCCAGGCCGCGCCGGUGGAAGAUGUCGGCGCAGGGGGACUGCGAGUUCCUGGUGAAGCGGGCCCGGGAGCUGGUGCCGGGGGACCUGUGGGCGGCCAAGGCCUGGCUCAUCACGGCGCGGAGCCUCUACCCCGCCGACUUCAACAUACAAUAUGAGAUGUACACUAUUGAGAGGAAUGCUGAAAGGACAGCGUCUGCAGGCAGGCUGCUCUACGACAUGUUUGUCAAUUUUCCAGACCAGCCUGCUGUGUGGAGGGAGAUCAGUGUUAUUACAUCAGCAUUAAGGAAUGACUCCCAGGACAAGCAGACACAGUUUUUAAGAGGAUUAUUUGAGACCCUUCCUGGUCGGAUUCAGUGUGAAAUGCUCCUGAAGGCAACAGAGCAGUGCUUUAACACAUUAGAAAGGGCAGAAAUGCUCCUUCUACUUCUGCGGCGUUUCCCAGAGACUGUGGUGCAGCACGGGGUAGGCCUUGGAGAAACGUUAUUAGAUGCUGAAAGUAUUGAAGACCAAGAAUCUCCAGUGAAUUGUUUUAGAAAAUUAUUUGUUUGUGAUGUUCUUCCUCUGAUAAUUAACAACCCUGAUGUACGACUUCCUGCCAGCUUGUUAUAUAAAUAUCUGAAUAAAGCAGCAGAAUUUUAUAUUAAUUAUGUGACUAGAUCUACACAGACAGAAAGUCAAUAUCAAGGUUCACAAGAUUCCUCUGAUAUUAUGUCUCCAAGCAAGCGCAGCUCUCAGAAAUAUGUAAUAGAUGGUCUCACAGAGAAAUCAUCCCAGAUUACAGAUCCUUGGGAGAGGCUGUUUAAAAUACUGUCUGUGGUGGGAAUGAGGUGUGAGUGGCAAAUGGAUAAGGGAAGAAGGAGUUACGGUGACAUUCUGCAUCGAAUGAAAGAUCUCUGCAGAUACAUCAGUAACUUUGAUAGUGAAGCCCACAUUAAAUACAAGAAUCAAGUAGUGUAUUCCACAAUGUUGGUCUUCUUUAAAAAUGCUUUUCAGUAUGUCAGCAACAUCCAGCCAUCACUCUUUCAAGGUCCAAAUGCUCCAAACCAAACUCCACUGGUUCUUCUUGAGGAUGUACCCAACAUCUAUGGUGAUACAGAUAUUGACCGUAACAAACACAUACACAAAAAAAGGAAACUUGCUGAAGGAAGAGAAAAAACAAUGCAGAGCUCAGAUGAUGAGGAUCCUUCUGGGAAGGCAAGAAGUCGCCAUAUUACAGUAAAUAAGGCUGAUCUUGCAAACUCCAUUGAAGUAUUAGAGAGUUUCAAACUGGCAAGAGAGAGCUGGGAGCUGCUUUAUUCUCUGGAAUCACUUGACAAAGAGUUCACCAGAAUUUGUUUGUCAUGGAAGACAGAAACCUGGCUUUGGUUAAGAAUCUUUCUUACAGACAUGAUCAUCUACCAGGGGCAGUACAAAAAAGCAAUUAGCAGCCUACAUCACUUGGCAGCUCUUCAGGGCUCUCAUUCCCCGCAGCAAAUGACAGGACAAGGAUCUUUAGAAAAUCAGAGAGCACUGAUCCAGUUAGCAUCGUGCCACUUUGCCCUUGGAGAAUAUCGGCAAACAUGUGAAAAAGUGCUUGACCUCAUGUGCUGUAUUUUACUUCCAAUACAAGAAGGAGGUAAAGUACAAGAGGAGCAACCUAAAGUCAAGUCAAAAUUCAGGAAAGGUUCUGAUUUGAAGCUUUGGCCAUGUACCAGUAGAGCUAUCAUGCCUUACUGCCUUCAUCUGUUGUUAGCUUGUUUCAAGCUCAGAGCUUUCACAGACAGCAGAGAUGAUAUGGCACUGGGCCACGUAGUUGUUCUGCUUCAGCAUGAGUGGCCGAGGGGUGAGAACUUGUUCCUGAAAGCCAUCAACAAAAUCUGCCAGCAAGGAAACUUCCAGUAUGAGAAUUUUUUCAACUAUGUCACAAAUAUUGAUAUGCUGGAGGAAUUUGCUUAUUUAAGAACACAGGAAGGAGGGAAAAUUCAUCUGGAACUGCUGCCAAAUCAAGCAAUGUUGAUCAAGCACCACACAGUGACCCGGGGUAUAACUAAAGGAGUGAAGGAGGACUUCCGCCUGGCCAUGGAGCGCCAGGUCUCGCGCUGUGGGGAAAAUCUCAUGGUGGUCUUGCAUAGGUUCUGCAUUAAUGAGAAAAUACUGCUGCUGCAGACUCUUGCUUGAACGGCCUGGAUCCUGAUGCAGUGUCUUUUAUGGAGAGAGGGGAAGGCUCUUUGUAUGAACAAGCAGCAUAGCAGUGGAAAAUCUCUUGUUCAGAGGGUCAAGAAGUUCCCUGGUGGACGAGUGCCAACCAAUCUGGUCAGAUGUGCUGCCUUUACAAACAAAUGCUGACUGCCGUUCAAAGCUCUGGGGUUUCUGGUAGGAGACAAUGGAAGCGAAGAAAACCAAAGGAUAGUAUCAGUGCAGAAAGAAUCAUAAGGAAUAUGUUUCCUAAUGUGUUUUACUGACCUGGGUAUAAAAAUGGAGCACCUGACCACCAUUUCUUGACAUCCACAAGGUAAUAUAUCAGCAAUAAGAGGAUGAAGGCAAAGCAGCUCAUGGUUGUCACAUAUGAUAUUGACCUACAAACAUUUCCAGUAGAAAGAGUAAUAUUUAGAGAACAAUGUGAUACAGAUCUCACUGCACAAAAGGUAAAACAUUCUCUGAGCUAAAAUAGUACUUUAACAAAAUCAUAUUGAAUGUUCCAUCUCUUUGCUUACCAUAAGUUCUUGUUUAUUGGAAUAAACCCUUCUUCUUUAGAACAUUUUGUCAAGAUAGCAGAAAUAACUCCCUGAAAUAGAAAGUAAAGUUUAUAUAACCACUGCAGCAUGUUUCAGAAAUAUUUGCAUUGCAUUAAAAUAUAUGUCUUUUAAAAAGAGCUACAUAACUAUCAGACUUACCAUUACUAUGCCCCAUAUGAUGAACCGACUCAUAAUUUGUUUGGGCUGGUCUUUGUAGAACAAAGUAAUUUUUCCUGCCUUAUGAAAACAAUUUAAAAAAAUAAUUAAUGCUCAUUCAUGGAACCACAUUUCAAGAGCCAGAUAUAUUUUCCACCAGUUACCUGUGCUAAGACAGAGACCACGAAUGGGAUUUCUGUCAGCCAAGUGGUUGAAAGACUCAAAUUGAGGACUCUUUGUAAAGAAUGGACACACAAGGGGAAAAUAUGUAAAUGCAACCCAAUCAGCAGUAGAGGUGCACCUUUUCUCCCUUUCUCACUAUGUUAACUGAAGAAGGGGACAAGCAUCUUUAUUAGGUCAAUGCAACAUAAGUUGAGCUCCUCUCCCUUGGUAAGGAACAACACCAGAGCCAGCCCCAAGAGCUUCUCCACAGCAUCCCUGAACUGCCCAGAGCACAUGCUUCUUUUCAUACACCACUAAGCAAUGUGUCCUGAUAAUUCACUCCUCAGUGUCACACUUCUCUUCCAAGAUCUGCCUUACAGAUAUUCCCAAUCAGUUUUUCCCCAGUGCUACAUGUGGUAACAUUCCUUUCCCAGCACAAGAGUUCCAGUUUGGUUCACAGCUGCUGCACCAUCAGAAAAGCCAUAAGUGCAUCAAAACUGCAUCAAAAAGUGCAGAACUUUAAACAGUUGUGAGCUGUGGGCUUUUGGUGUUGGUAACACCAGUGUGAAGCCCUUCAUCUCUCUUGUCAGGGAAGGUGAGCACACAGCACCUGUGCAAGAUGGUUAUCACUGCAUGACAAGCAGAAAAUCAGCAAGGGGGAGCAAGUACAUCUGCAGCUUUUGAAACCCUUACAAUGAAGUUGUGAAGUUUGUGUGUCAGCCUUAUUUUCCAACAUACAGAGCCAGCUUACUCCCACCAUAAGCCCAACCUUGAAACACCAGGUGGCUAUUUUGCAAGCUUCUUGCGUCCAUCCCUUAAAAAAACUGAGAAGUCUCAGUGUAUCUAAUGCAAGCUACUGCCAUGUUAGCUUCCACUUCUCUGGCACUCACCUCAGGCUAAGCCAUUGCAAAAGCAUUGUUCUGAAAAAGGUUUUAUUAGAACCAGUCUCAGCCUUAAGUAAAGAAACCCAGUUGCCUCCCCACUACCAAGCUUCCUUCAAAUCUUCCCAUUAUAGCAUGCAGCCAGAAAGAAAACAAGGUACCUGCAGUCCCAAAAAUGCCAAAACAAUGCUAUUUAUGGUCCCCAGGAUCCCUUCAGGAUCAUAUGGCAUCGUUGAUUGGUAAGUCACCUUAGAGAGAAAACAGCUGUUACAGAGCACCCAAGCAACCGAACUCCUUUCUUUUAAAUCUCCCUGCACGUAUCAUUCCCAAGCCACUCCUGACAUAUUGCAAACCAAAAACUACUUACACCUGAAGAGGGAUGCUGAUACAUAUGAUUUUCUCCAAGAAGCAAGCGGUCAAUGUAACCAGCUGCUCCUCCGGUGCAGUUGGGAUACUUUCCGAAGUCCCCAAUGCCCCCAGGACCAAGAUAGCCCCUAGGACAGAGGCAGAGAGCUUGUAGCACAAAAUGUUGUUACAGUCCAGCUGCACAGCAACUGGCCCACUGAACCAGCACACUAAAUGCUCAAUGUUUUCCCAGGCUAGAGGCUCACAAUGGCAAUGCAGUGAUCAUAUAUUGAUCAUAUACACAGACCUCAGGGAGAUUUUAAUCCUCUUCUUUAAAUAGAAAGGAAGAGUGACAUCACCUGUAUAACACCUGGUACUUGAAUACCAAAGUAAAGAACGUUUUUUCACAUGAUGGAUGCUUCUUUUAACCCUGCUGGCCUGAAAGCUCUUCCCUUCAUUCUCUCCCUAUGGCUAGUAAAAUGUACCCUCCACUCAGGAGAAGAGAACCAACCUGAUACCCCACAUUAAGUUGUGAGUGCAUGGUCUUACCUGGGACAAUCUGGCACUGGUAACAAGAAGGUCAGGCAGAGCCAAAUUGUUUCUAACACCAGAAUAAAAAUCCACUGUGGCCAGUAGGGGAGAAUAUCCUGCAGAGCAGGGAAUCGUCCUUCCUGCAUGAGAUGGAGGGAGGGGUGUUAGCUGGCAAGUAAAAACCAUGCCCUUGGGGACAACCUGUAUUUCCUGGCAGGCAAUCUUGUACCCCAGAUACAAGAGGGAGACUUCAUUACAAAACUGGGUUUUACCAACAGACCUUUCAUUUUCACAAGCAAUUUCCAGACACUUAGUUACUUGGGACAGGGGGGAGAAACAAACCAAAACAAAAGCCCUUAAUGUUUUUUAACUUGGAAAAUGUCAAAAGGAAUUUUGAUUCAUGCAUAGAACAAAAGCCUUUUGGGAAAACAGACUCUAGAAAGGCCAAAACCCAGUAUUACUUUCCCCUGCUGUAGAAAAACCUUGCCAAAAUUAACUGGACAAAACACAGACUACAGGAUUCAGCAUAGAGAUGCCUGUUCCUGGGCUUCCUUGGCAGUGGAAAAGUCACAAAAGUGUCUUGGAAUGCCUGUUUUUAAGAACUGUCUGAAUGGAUUGUUGAAAUCCUCAAAUAUAUUAAAGUUAGAUGUGACAAAA